rnacentral:rRNA from 1 species
CAGUCGCCGCGGGAAUACGUAGGUCCCGAGCGUUGUCCGGAUUUAUUGGGCGUAAAGGGCUCGCAGGCGGUUUCUUAAGUCUGAUGUGAAAGCCCCCGGCUCAACCGGGGAGGGUCAUUGGAAACUGGGAGACUUGAGUGCAGAAGAGGAGAGUGGAAUUCCACGUGUAGCGGUGAAAUGCGUAGAGAUGUGGAGGAACACCAGUGGCGAAGGCGACUCUCUGGUCUGUAACUGACGCUGAGGAGCGAAAGCGUGGGGAGCGAACAGGAUUAGAUACCCGUGUAGUCCCUGUCUCUUAUAC